rfam:Gossypium raimondii Chr11_contig_750, whole genome shotgun sequence.
AAUCCAUGAAUUGGACAUUUUUGAAUUAAAUCUUUAAAUUGUUCCCAAGUUUCAGAUAAUGUUCCAUCCUCUGAAUGUCGAAGAGAUGUGAUGUCAUUUCUAAGCUU